rnacentral:rRNA from 1 species
GAUGAACGCUGGCGGCGUGCCUAAUACAUGCAAGUCGAGCGAACAGACGAGGAGCUUGCUCCUCUGACGUUAGCGGCGGACGGGUGAGUAACACGUGGAUAACCUACCUAUAAGACUGGGAUAACUUCGGGAAACCGGAGCUAAUACCGGAUAAUAUAUUGAACCGCAUGGUUCAAUAGUGAAAGACGGUUUUGCUGUCACUUAUAGAUGGAUCCGCGCCGCAUUAGCUAGUUGGUAAGGUAACGGCUUACCAAGGCGACGAUGCGUAGCCGACCGGCGAGGGUGAUCGGCCACACUGGAACUGAGGCACGGUCCAGACUCCUACGGGAGGCAGCAGUAGGGAAUCUUCCGCAAUGGGCGAAAGCCUGACGGAGCAACGCCGCGUGAGUGAUGAAGGUCUUCGGAUCGUAAAACUCUGUUAUUAGGGAAGAACAAAUGUGUAAGUAACUAUGCACGUCUUGACGGUACCUAAUCAGAAAGCCACGGCUAACUACGUGCCAGCCGCCGCAGUAA